UUCUAAUCCAAGGCGGCUGGAUCCUGCUGUCAGUGGGUAUCUGGGGUCCGUGAAGUGUAAGACGCGCGGUGGAAGCUGUGCUCUUCAGCAGAGUGUACAGUGUGUCUCUGUGGGCCUGUGCUCCGGCGCCGCGGGGGUUAAUUCCAGGUGACCUCGUCGGCUCCACACGCAGUGACCUCUUUCCACGGGAGCUCCGGGCAGUGAUGAGACAGAGAUCAUAUCCUGCUGGUUUGAUAGGUACCUUCGAUGGGAAUUUAGCAGGAAUCUGGGAAGAAUGCCGUCUGUGUCCAGAGGAUAGCAUCCGAAGCGUGGUUGCAGUGGUGGGCAGGACCCUGUGGGAGGAGGAUCGGGUUGGACGCCCUGAGAAAACGGGGUUGGUCUGUUGUUACUGUUGGCCUCUCAGCUAUCCCUGCCUGGCGCCUUCCCAGUAAUACUGAUUACUACAGGGCUGUGUCCCAGCCUGCUCCGUAUAACCGAUUUCCUGCGAAGAUGGAGAAAGAGAAACUGGGGGAAGCAAAGUUUACUGAUUGUUUUGUGUUAAUCGCCACUUAUAAAAUGCACAGCCAUACCUCUGAAUUGCAGCAGUCUGUCACGAGGA